rnacentral:rRNA from 1 species
UGGGGAAUAUUGCACAAUGGGGGAAACCCUGAUGCAGCGACGCCGCGUGAGCGAAGAAGUAUUUCGGUAUGUAAAGCUUCUAUCAGGCAGGGAAGAUAAUGACGGUCACCUGAACUAAGCAAGGCCCCGGCUAACUACCGUGCCAGCAGCCGCGGUAAUACGUAGGGGGCAAGCGUUAUCCGGAUUUACUGGGUGUAAAGGGAGCGUAGACGGCAAGGCAAGUCUGAUGUGAAAACCCGAGGGCUUAACUCUGGGACUGCAUUGGAAACUGUCUGGGCUCGAGUGCCGGAGAGGUAAGCGGGAAUUCCUAGUGUAGCGGUGAAAUGCGUAGAUAUUAGGAAGAACACCAGUGGCGAAGGCGGCUUACUGGACGGUAACUGACGUUGAGGCUCGAAAGCGUGGGAGCAAACAGGAUUAGAUACC